rnacentral:lncRNA from 1 species
CUUCGUGGGCGGAGCGCGGCCUGCCCAGAGUGCCUUCUAUAUCCUGGGUCAGGCGCCAAGCUCCACAACAUCAUGCAGGAAGCUGCAGCCCCGCAGAGUUAGGACAGCUCAUUUGGCACCCGGCGAGCCCUUCCCAGGCCCACAGCCCAGAAUAGAGCCCGGGCCCAAGACGCCCACUAGAG